GAUGAACGCUGGCGGCGUGCCUAAUACAUGCAAGUCGAGCGAAUGGAUUAAGAGCUUGCUCUUAUGAAGUUAGCGGCGGACGGGUGAGUAACACGUGGGUAACCUGCCCAUAAGACUGGGAUAACUCCGGGAAACCGGGGCUAAUACCGGAUAACAUUUUGAACCGCGUGGUUCGAAAUUGAAAGGCGGCUUCGGCUGUCACUUAUGGAUGGACCCGCGUCGCAUUAGCUAGUUGGUGCGGUAACGCCUCACCAAGGCAACGAUGCGUAGCCGACCGGAAAGGUGGAUCGGCGACACGGGGACUGAGACAAGGCCCAGACUCAAACGGGAGGCAGCAGUAGGGAAUCUUCCGCAAAGGACGAAAGUCUGACGGAGCAACGCCGCGGGGGUGAUGAAGGCUUUCGGGUCGUAAAACUCUGUUGUUAGGGGAGAACAAGUGCUAGUUGAAUAAGCUGGCACCUUGACGGUACCUAACCAGAAAGCCACGGCUAACUACGUGCCAGCCGCCGCCGUAA
rnacentral:rRNA from 1 species